GACAGAGGGUGCAAACGUUGUUCGGAAUUACUGGGCGUAAAGCGCGUGUAGGCGGGACGGCACGUCGGUCGCUGAAAGCCCCCGGCUCAACCGGGGAACGGGCGCCGAUACGACCGCCCUGGAGGGACGUAGGGGGACCUGGAACUUCCGGUGGAGCGGUGAAAUGCGUUGAGAUCGGAAGGAACGCCCGUGGCGAAAGCGAGGUCCUGGACGUUUUUCUGACGCUGAGACGCGAAAAGCCAGGGGGAGCGAACGGG
rnacentral:rRNA from 1 species